AACAAACGCUGGCGGCGUGCCUAAUACAUGCAAGUCGAACGGGGAAAGCUUUCGGGUGAGUACUAGUGGCGCACGGGUGAGUAACGCGUGGAUAAUCUGCCUUAGAGUGGGGGAUAACUAGUCGAACGAUUCGCUAAUACCGCAUAAGACCACAAGAACUGCGGUUCAAGAGGUCAAAGGCUUUUCGCUCUAAGAUGAGUCCGCGUAAGAUUAGCUAGUUGGUGAGGUAACGGCUCACCAAGGCGACGAUCUUUAACGGGUCUGAGAGGAUGAUCAGUCACACUGAAACUGAGACACGGUCCAGACUCCUACGGGAGGCAGCAGUAGGGAAUAUUGCACAAUGGAGGAAACUCUGAUGCAGCGACGCCGCGUGAGUGAUGAAGGCCUUCGGGUCGUAAAGCACUGUCGCAGGGGCAUAGCACAAUGAAUGUACCCUGUAAGAAAGGAUCGGCUAACUUCGUGCCAGCCGCCGCGGUAAUAC
rnacentral:rRNA from 1 species